GAGGGUGCGAGCGUUAAUCGGAAUUACUGGGCGUAAAGGGCUAGUAGGCGGAUUAUUAAGUUAGCUGUGAAAUCUCUGGGCUUAACCUGGGAAGUGCAGUUGAGACUGAUAGUCUAGAGUAUUGUAGAGGGGGGUAGAAUUCCAGGUGUAGCGGUGAAAUGCGUAGAUAUCUGGAGGAAUACCGGUGGCGAAGGCGGCCCCCUGGACAAAACUGACGCUGAGGGACGAAAGCGUUAAGUGAUCC
rnacentral:rRNA from 1 species